GAUGUUGUAGCUCAGUGGUUUGAGUGCUCACCUCACAUGUGGAAGGCACUGGGUUUAAUCCUCAGCACCACA
rnacentral:tRNA from 1 species